rnacentral:rRNA from 1 species
GUUGUAUGGUUAAGUGACUAAGCGUACAUGGUGGAUGCCUUGGCAGUCAGAGGCGAUGAAGGACGUACUAACCUGCGAUAAGCCGUGAGCAGUCGGUAAGAGACAUUACGACUCACGG